rnacentral:rRNA from 1 species
CCUACGGGUGGCUGCAGUGGGGAAUAUUGGGCAAUUGGCGCAAGCCUGACCCAGCAACGCCGCGUGAAGGAAGAAGGCUUUCGGGUUGUAAACUUCUUUUUAGAGGGAAGAGCAGACGACGGUACCUCUUGAAUAAGCCACGGCUAACUAAGUGCCAGCAGCCGAGGUAAUACGUAGGUGGCAGGCGUUGUCCGGAUUUACUGGGUGUAAAGGGCGUGUAGCCGGGCUUACAAGUCAGAUGUGAAAUCCCGUGGCUCAACCACGGAAAUGCAUUGGAAACUGGCGGUCUUGAGUGUCGGAGAGGCAGGCGGAAUUCCUAGUGUAGCGGGGAAAUGCGUAGAUAUUAGGAGGAACACCAGUGGCGAAGGCGGCCUGCUGGACGACAACUGACGGUGAGGCGCGAAAGCGUGGGGAGCAAACAGGAUUAGAUACCCGGGUAGUC